GGGCUCAAACAAAGUCAUAAAAUGAUUAUGAUCACUGAUCAUAAAUAGUAUUACUCAAUAAAAUAAUGAAUAAUACUAUCUACAAUUGUUCACUAUCAUAUUAAUGCAUCAAAUUAUUAAUCGUCACAUGUAUCUUAUGCAUGACAACUAUGACAGAAAAUGACUAUAAAUAGCAUUAUUUAAAAAAAAAAAAUAAGAUUUCCUUUUCAAGCAGUGGAGAGUGAGCGGAAGACAGUCGAGCUCAGUCAUCAGCGGGUGAAAAAACCAGUCGGAUGGAACAUCAACUUUCCACUGUCCUCCACGGCCAUCGUCACUUCUCCUUCCAUUCUAUGUCUCUUUAGUUUUAAUNNN
rnacentral:lncRNA from 1 species